UGUAUUUGAGCAGCACCAGUGCAGGAUCAGUACAGAUCUGUUAGUUGCAUAUUUUACCUUUUGUUUUUCCUCGUCUCUCAAUUCAAAAAACAAUUAUACGUUCAUUUUCUUUAAAGCUAGAAAAUGCAAAAGAGUACAGUCAAAAUGAGCAAAUCCACAGUUAAACGGCUACAUUUUGUGGCUACAUUACUGAUUAGAUAAUUUCAUGGUUAUUCACAAACGUAUCUGAUGAAAUCGUUAAUACAUUAAUAGAUAUGUCAGAGCAUGUGGAAUUACAACACUUGGUUGACGCCGAUGUGGAGAGUAAUAUGACAAAUUACAAAAAAAAAUGUUCUAUGAUAUUGUGUAAAUCGUGUCCAUAUUGGGGCCUAACAUUAGCAAUACUAUCGUCUCUAUUUUUUUCUUUAUGUAGUGUUAUCGUUAAGAGUUUGGUGGAGAUAAAUCCCAUGGAAAUGGCAAUCUUCCGAUUUAUGGGAGUAUUGUUACCAGCUAUUCCAAUUGUGAUUUACAAAGGCGAACAUCCUUUUCCGAAAGGACGCAGACUGAUACUUAUUUUAAGGAGUUUCAUCGGCACGACGGGACUUAUGUUAAGUUUCUAUGCAUUUAGGUAUAUGCCAUUGGCGGAUGCUUCGGUUAUCGUAUUUUCUGUUCCGGUAUUCGUGGCAAUAUUUGCACGGAUAUUUUUGAAGGAGCCCUGUGGCUUAUUCAAUGUUGUCACUAUAUGUCUGACGUUGAUCGGCGUGAUUCUAAUAACGCGACCGUCGUUAAUUUUCAGUCACACUGUGGAAUCUCUCUCGGAUGGCCACGUUAAGCCGGAGAAUGCGGAUUUAUGGAGUGCUAUGGCCGCUUUCUCAGCUACUUUGUUUGGAGCAAACGCGUAUGUUUUACUUCGUGCGUUAAAAGAUCUUCAUUUUUCUGUUAUAAUGACGAACUUUGGUUCAUUUGCCCUAAUUCAAACCACGCUUAUAUCAUGGGCGAUCGGCGCGUUGUGCAUGCCACAUUGUGGCACGGAUAGAUUGUUGGUUGUCGUGCUUGCGUUGUUUAGUUUCGCGGGUCAAAUCUUGUUGACUUUAGCGCUUCAGAUAGAGCAAGCUGGUCCAGUGGCCAUAGCAAGGUCCACAGACAUUGUUUUUGCGUUCUUUUGGCAGGUAUUAUUUUUUAACGAAAUACCAAAUCGAUAUUCCAUAGGCGGGGCUAUAUUAGUCACUAGCUCGGUUUUGUUAAUAGGAUUAAGAAAAUGGGCUCUUUCAUUACCGGAAACAUCGAAUAUUAAAAAAUUUCUUAGGAUCCUAAUGAUGUAAACGAUGAUUUUUUAGAGAUGAAAAAGGAAACUUUAUUUAAACUAAAUUAAUUAACUUUAACACUAGAACAACCGGCAUUAAAUAUGUACCUAUUUCUAUUAUUUUUUGUUUUUAUUUUCAAAUUCUUUACACAUUAUUUUUAUUUUUUUAAAUAUUUAAAUAAUUAAUUUGAAAAAAAUCCGACGAAAAUCACAUUUGUAAUUUAAUCCAUAAAUCUGACACCCAUUAUUUUGACGGGUUUGUUCUAGUAUUAAAACCUGCCAACACUGUAUGUAGCACGCACGUUAUUAUGAUGUCUUAACUCGUACGUUUUGUUGUUGGCGUUUUAACUAGUAUUGAAACAUGAUUCAUAUGUAUAUCGAUAUCACGUAACUAAUUGUGAAAUUUCUGGUGAAUGUUGCAAUGACAUAAUAUAUGACUUUAUAGUAUGAUGCUUUAUAGUAUAAUGCUGAGCACACUAUGAAUUUAUUUUUCUAUCUGGAAUUGCCAAAUCGUAUAAAGUUUAUACGUAUAAAGUCAUAGUGUACUCAGCAUGCAUUCAUAUAAUAUGACCUCAAAGGUGCAUACACAUAUGCUACUCAGGAUAGCAUAUUAGAACUGCGGACGCGUUAUGAUAUUAAAGAAAUAUCUCAUGUGAUAAAAAAAUUAUUAGAUUAUAAGGUUGCCUCAUUGUCGAGUUUUUGGGCAAGAGGAGGAUUGGCAAAAAGAGGUAGUGACGUCAGCGUAAAUCCCAGUGAAUCUCAUUUGGCGGCUUCCAGUGAUUUUUAUUGAGAAUGUAAAAUCUAUUGGACUUAUGACCAAUUGCAUACUGGAUAAACGAUGAAUAAUGUACAAAUAGUGUGUAGUGUACAUAACGUAAAUUAUAUAUUUUCAGUGAGUAUUAUUGAGUUCUGUAUUAUAAAUGGAGCGAGCAUUCUUCAUUCUGUGAAAACUAUGAUCUGCUGAUGUAAAGGAUAAAAAUACAGUUGGUUGCAUCUGUUU